UACGGAGGGUGCAAGCGUUAAUCGGAAUUACUGGACGUAAAGCGUGCGCAGGCGGUUUGUUAAGUCCGUUGUGAAAGCCCCGAGCUCAACUUGGGAAUUGCAGUGGAUACUGGCAGGCUGGAGUACGGUAGAGGAAGGUGGAAUUCCCGGUGUAGCAGUGAAAUGCGUAGAUAUCGGGAGGAACACCAGUGGCGAAGGCGGCCUUCUGGACCAGUACUGACGCUCAUGCACGAAAGCGUGGGGAGCAAACAGG
rnacentral:rRNA from 1 species